AUGGAUGAGGUCACAAGGGAUAUACAAGGAGAUAUCCCAUGGUGUAUGCUCUUUGCGGAUGAUGUGGUGCUAGUUGACGAUAGUCGGACGGGGGUAAAUGGGAAGUUAGAGUUAUGGAGACAAACCUUGGAAUCGAAAGGGUUUAGGCUUAGUAGAACUAAAACCGAGUACAUGAUGUGCAGUUUCAGUACUACUAGGUGUGAGGAGGAGGAGGUUAGCCUUGAUGGCAAGGUGGUACCUCGGAAGGACACCUUUCGGUAUUUGGGGUCAAUGUUGCAGGAGGAUGGGGGUAUUGAUGAAGAUGUGAACCAUCGAAUCAAAGUCGGAUGGAUGAAGUGGCGCCAAGCUUCUGGCAUUUUCUGUGACAAGAGAGUGCCACAAAAGCUAAAAGGCAAGUUCUACAGGACGGCGGUUUGA
rnacentral:rRNA from 1 species